rnacentral:rRNA from 1 species
GGGUUAAGUCCCGCAACGAGCGCAACCUUUCCUUAUUUGCCAGCGGGUUAAGCCGGGAACUUUAAGGAUACUGCCAGUGACAAACUGGAGGAAGGCGGGGACGACGUCAAGUCAUCAUGGCCCUUACGACCAGGGCUACACACGUGCUACAAUGGUAGGUACAGAGGGUUGCUACACAGCGAUGUGAUGCUAAUCUCAAAAAGCCUAUCGUAGACCGGAUUGGAGGCUGCAACUCGCCUGCAUGAAGGCGGAAUCGCUAGUAAUCGCAGGUCAGCAUACUGCGGUGAAUCCGUUCCCGGGCCUUGUACACACCGCCCGUCGACGCGGCCG